AAGCAUUGUGAGGCUUGUGCCUCUGCAGAGAAAUCCUGCAAAUCUAUGCAUGAUACACCUCUUCUGAGAUGCAUCAUGCACGGGUGAGUGUUUAUCUUCACAGAGAUGACAGUCAGAGAGGACAUGACCAGCCACAAAAGUCAUCUUCAUCAUUUAAUUAAACAAUUGAACACACCUUGCCUGGUGAUGCUGUCUGCUCAAGACAGAGCAGAAAUGAAUGCUCUAUAAUCUCAGUGCUGAGCAGCAGCUGAGUCUGCAGAGAUGCAG
rnacentral:sRNA from 1 species